rnacentral:rRNA from 1 species
GUGAGGAAUAUUGGACAAUGGGCGCAAGCCUGAUCCAGCCAUGCCGCGUGAGUGAUGAAGGCCUUCGGGUUGUAAAGCUCUUUAGCCGAUGAUUAUAAUGACUGUAGUCGGAAAAUAAGCCCCGGCUAACUUCGUGCCAGCAGCCGCGGUAAUACGAAGGGGGCGAGCGUUAUUCGGAAUCACUGGGCGUAAAGCGUGCGUAGGCGGCUUUGCAAGUUGGGAGUGAAAGCCCAGGGCUCAACCCUGGAAUUGCUCUCAAAACUGCAAGGCUCGAAUUCGGGAGAGGAUAGCGGAAUUGUCAGUGUAGCAGUGAAAUGCGUAGAUAUUGACAGGAACACCAGUGGCGUAAGCGGCUAUCUGGACCGAUAUUGACGCUGAGGCACGAAAGCGUGGGGAUCAAACAGGAUUAGAAACCCGUGUAGUCC